GGCCUCUGCCACCAGGGCCACCAGCCUCCUCUCCCCACUGUCCCAGCCAUCUUUGGAAACUCCAGACCUGACCCAGUCAGGCCCCUACUCAAAACCGUUUCAUAGGUCCCCAAAGCCCAGGGGACUGAUGGCAAGGCUCACGGUGGUAUCCCGCCAGCUCCCUGGCCCCUGCCCUCCCGCCAUUAUUGCGCCUGAAGGGCACACAUCACAGCGCUCCCCGGAACGACACCCCGCCUUCAGCUAGUCCUGGGUUCACCCCAUCUGCCUUGUCCGUCCCACACCAGGUGGUUGAGAAGAACAGAUGCCCACUGAGGUGACCCGUCCCCAGGCCUCUGCUGGGGAAAGAGCCAGGCCACCUGGGACGGUCAGCUUCCGGGACAGACGCGAGCCUACCCACCCGUUGACAAACUGACAGAAAGGACCCGUGAGCCAGGUGCUCAGGGAGGCGUCUGGAGGGCUUCCCAGAGGAGGCCUGACUCAAGGGACUGAGAUUUCAGAAUGUCCCGCCUGAACUGUGUUUGCUGUGGUCAAGCGCCUGACCCCAUCAGAAGUGGCUGUGGCCAGAUCUGGACGCACCUGAAAGUAGAUCACCACUGCGAAGACAAAGAUGGUGGCGAUCAGGUUCAUGAGGUUGGGGAGGUUCUGGCGGUAGAAGGCCUCACGCAGGGCCCGGACCUUGUCGGUGCGGGUGGCCAGCAGGUGGAACAGCGCGAUGAUGGCACCUUCGAAUUCCAUUCCUGUUGCCGAAGGAAAGGACGCAGGUGGUAAAGAAACAAGCCACCAACUAAAUCUGGCUCUAAGGUUCCUGGUGGCCAGAAAGAGUAAGCCCUGGCAUUGACGGUGCUGCUCCCGUAACCACAGGGAGAGAGUUCUCUCGACCCUCACCACUGUUUCUUCUGUAGAGACCGCACACCCUGCGGAAACAUGCCGUUCUACCUUUCAAAUUAA